CAAUGAAAUUCGUUUCUCUGGAACGAGUGAAAUAUCUUAGAUGUGAAAUAUGCCUGCGGCAUAUGAAAACAGGU
rnacentral:sRNA from 10 species